rnacentral:rRNA from 1 species
CAUCCGCCGCGGUAAUACGGAGGGUGCAAGCGUUAAUCGGAAUUACUGGGCGUAAAGCGCACGCAGGCGGUCUGACAAGUCAGAUGUGAAAUCCCCGGGCUUAACCUGGGAACUGCAUUUGAAACUGUCAGGCUGGAGUCUUGUAGAGGGGGGUGGAAUUCCAGGUGUAGCGGUGAAAUGCGUAGAGAUCUGGAGGAAUACCGGUGGCGAAGGCGGCCCCCUGGACAAAGACUGACGCUCAGGUGCGAAAGCGUGGGGAGCAAACAGGAUUAGAUACCCGGGUAGUCCCUGUCUCUUAUAC